GAUGAACGCUAGCGACAGGCCUAACACAUGCAAGUCGAGGGGCAUCGGGACGUAGCAAUACGUUGCCGGCGACCGGCGGAUGGGUGAGUAACGCGUAUGCAACCUACCCGUAGCAGGGGGAUAGCCCGUUGAAAGACGGAUUAAUACCCCGUAACACAGGGGCUCCGCAUGGAGAUUAUUGUUAAAGGGUCAUUUCUUUUUCAGGGAUGGUCCGGCUGCGGAUGGGCAUGCGUUCCAUUAGGUAGUUGGUGUAGGUAACUGCUCACCAAGCCGACGAUGGAUAGGGGAACUGAGAGGUUGGUCCCCCACACUGGUACUGAGACACGGACCAGACUCCUACGGGAGGCAGCAGUGAGGAAUUUUGGUCAAUGGACGCAAGUCUGAACCAGCCAUGUCGCGUGAAGGAGGACGGCCCUAAGGGUUGUAAACUUCUUUUGCAGUGGAAUAAAGUUUGCCACGUGUUGGCGAUUUGCAAGUACGCUGCGAAUAAGGAUCGGCUAACUCCGUGCCAGCAGCCGCGGUAAUACGGAGGAUCCGGGCGUUAUCCGGAUUUAUUGGGUUUAAAGGGUGCGCAGGCGGGGAAUUAGGUCGGCGGUGAAAUUUCGGGGCUCAACCUCGACAGUGCCGUUGAAACCGUUUCUCUUGAGUGCGGAUGAGGUAGGCGGAAUUUGUGGUGUAGCGGUGAAAUGCGUAGAUAUCACAAGGAACACCGAUUGCGGAGGCAGCUUACUAAACCGUUACUGACGCUCAUGCACGAAGGCGUGGGGAUCAAACAGG
rnacentral:rRNA from 2 species